AUUGAACGCUGGCGGCAGGCCUAACACAUGCAAGUCGAACGGUAACAGGAAUCAGCUUGCUGCUUUGCUGACGAGUGGCGGACGGCUGAGUAAUGUCUGGGAAACUGCCUGAUGGAGGGGGAUAACUUCUGGAAACUUUAUCUAAUACCGCAUAACGUCGCAAUACCAACUAUGUGGACCUUAGGGCCUCUUGCCAUCGGAUGUGCCCAUAUGGGAUUAGCUAGUAGGUGGGGUAACGGCUCACCUAGGCGACGAUCCGUAGCUGGUCUGAGAGGAUGACCAGCCAGACUGGAAAGGAGACACGGUACAGAGGGAUACGGGAGGCAGCAGUAGGGAAUAUUGAAGAAGGGGCGCAAGACUGAUGAAGACAGGCCGCGAGUAUGAAGAAGGAAUUCGGGUUGUAAAGUAAUGUCAGCGGGGAGGAAGGGAGUAAAGUGAAUACAUGUAAUCAUUGACGUUACCAGCAGAAGAAGCAACGGCUAAAUCCGUG
rnacentral:rRNA from 1 species